rnacentral:misc_RNA from 1 species
AAGAACCCAUUAAGUCUCCCUCGUUGGGAGGAUCGCCUUGUGGAUUGGCAUACAGAGAGACACAGGGGAAGUAUGUGGGGUUUAGGAGUAACAGCAGUAAUGCUCACAAUGGAGUUCUUGGAGGUAGCCAUGAACACUGUAAACAAAGCAGCCCUGGGUAAAGGCAUGAGUCAAUUUAUACUUGUGGUGUAUUCUAAUAUGAUUGGGGUACUCUUGCUUCUUUCAUCUUCCUUCAUCUUCUACAGGCAAGUAUAAUCGGCAGAUCUUUUCCAUUUCUUUGUUGCUCUUCUUACUUUUUCCUUUCAUUCAGCAGAAAAAGAAUCGCUCCACCGCUUACAUGGUUCAUAACGGGAAGAAUUUUUGUUCUUGGUCUGCUCUGCUUCGCCGGUCAGGUGUUUACCUACAUUGGGUUAGGAUACAGCUCCCCAACUCUGGCCUCGGCGAUGACUGAUUUAACUCCAGCUUUUACUUUCAUACUUGGACUCGUCUCCAGCUCUGCACUGUAUGGAUGUUGCCUUGGCAUGUGGAGGUCUUUGAUCAACACCGGGCAUAUGAAAUUAAUACUUGGCAUGAAAUCAGUUCAGCAAAUUGCAUGAAAAGGGAACCUGAUGAAUUGGAUAGUUUGCUUGAUUUUUAGUAUUGAAUCAUGAGGCUAAACAAUUCUCAAAUGGACCUCCAAUCUAAGGACACUCUGGAGACUGGAGAUCCUGGUUUACUCCCUAAGAAUACCAGAACAAUACCAUUACUAUAAUAUUUCUGUUCAACAACAAAUGAAGUUACAUGUGCACUCAAAUUUCUUUUUCCUCUUUUAAGAAAGGACUAAUGAGGCUUGGUUCAAAUUUGGUUUUAGGAUGGAAAGGCUGGACUUGCGAAGCAAAAGCAGUCAGGCCAAAUCUAUUGGCACCAUGGUAUUGAUCACAGGGGGAUUAGUCCUGACUUUAUACAAAGGUCUGCCAAUUACAGGCUCUCCAUCAUCAGGUAAUAAAUUGCAGAAUGAGCUGCUUCUUUUGCCUUCAUCAAAUUGGGCCAUUGGAGGUUUUUUUCUUGCAGCUCAUAGUUUCUUCCUGGCGCUAAUUUUUAUUUUCCAGACAUGGAUAAUCAGGGACUACCCAUCGGAGAUUCUCAUUACACUCGUUAGCUGUAUCUUUGUGACCAUCCUAUCAGCCACUGUCUCUCUGAUCGCAGAGGAAGAUCCAAAUGCCUGGCGAAUAAGGCCCAAUAUUGAGUUGGUAGCUAUUGGGUACUCGGCAGCUUUUGCAGUAUCACUUCGAAGCAUUGUUCAUACAUGGGCAUGCCACAAGAAAGGGCCUGUCUACACUUCCAUGUUUAAACCAAUUGGGAUGGUUAUCGCAGUACUCAUGGGGGUGUCUUUUCUGGGGGAUACUCUCUAUCUUGGAAGUAUGAUAGGAGCUAUUAUUAUUGCCUUGGGGUUUUAUGCUGUGGUAUGGGGCAAAAGCCAAGAAGAAAGGAUGGUUGAAGACAAAGAGAAGUGUUGCUUGGAGUCAUCUUCCCCGAAAGUCCCUCUUCUGCAGAACAAAUGCACAAAUAUAUAGAGAAUUUUUGCAUGAAAUGCGCUCACACGCACACACACACACACAUAUAUAUAGACUUCUCCAUCUAGGGUCACUUCCACAAAUAGUAGUAGUCUUUCAACACAAAGUUGUGGCCCAACCCUUGUUUCUGAGAUGCAGCAACCAAGCUUACAGCCAAUCCCAGUUGUCCAGAUAUGUCUUCUGACUUCGCAUGAAUGCAUUCAUUGGCUAUCCCAUGCCUUUUCAUCCAGCAACUCACCCAUCUUUGUAACAUUUUCAUUUUACUACCAGAUUACUAUGCUUCUUGACUAUUGAAUUUCAUGUUAUCAGUACAUUCACAAAGAACUAUAGAGCAUGAAAAUGAAUCAGCAAUGAUCAAGAAAUCGAGUGACAUUAAAGUCUAUAGUUAACAAUAUCUCACUGCUAAUUUUGUUGUUUUAUAACCACAGAGCAGAUUCUAAAUCUGCCACAUUAACAGAGACAUGCUGAAGUAUGGAAAAUAUAUUAGAAUAGCUCAGGUACUCUACAUCAUUAAAAUAGAAGGAAGAAAAUAACAGUAACUAAAAGCACAUGCAAACUAAGAAUGUCAAGAGUAGACAGAAAACUUCUAUGACAGGGGUAACUGGCACCCAUAUAUAGAGAGAACAAAACAUUAUGAAAAGACUGCUGAAAGUGCUAACAAAGAAAGUUCAAAUGAUAUUUCAAGAUUCAUUAUUGUUCAAUUAAGUUAUUCAUGAAACCAUUCACCACCUGACAAAUCAGUAGCAUCUUAAAAGAAUUGUGGAAAUUGUUAAGCAUCUUAUAAGAUCAUUGUCUCCCUGAAUAUAAAGUUAGGUUAUAUGGGAAAUUCAUUGAAGUAGACAUCUUUAGAAUUACCUUGUUCCAAAUUUUAAAUAAGGCAUGUGAAAAGGGUUAGAUUCGUUAGAAAUGAGGGAAAACUGGCACCCCUUUUCUACAAUGUUUGCCCAAUUAAAUCACAAACAGCCAACUAUAAGAACAAUCUCCUGUCAGAGACAUGCAAAGUACAUUAAACUUAUAGUAAAUUGGAUAAAAAAUACUGUUAAACAGUUGUGAUUCUUAGGUGAUUUGAUGAUUGUUGUUGAAAUUGUAGAAAGAUACAUGCAAGCAAAAUAUCCUUGGGCAUAUCAGACAGCUCACAUCAAUUUGCAUAUGUUGCUUUAGAAAGACCUUUGGAAAAAUUGCCACCAGUUGUCCUUUUUCUUCAGCCUUAGAAAUUGAAUGACAUCAUUAACCAAAUAUGUUAUUAUUAGUGGUUGUCUUGAUUAGAAAGCACAUCCUGUUUAUACUUCAGCCUUAGAAAUUGAAUGACAUCAUUAACCAAAUAUGUUAUUAUUAGUGGUUGUCUUGAUUAGAAAGCACAUCCUGUUUAUACUUCAGCCUUAGAAAUUGAAUGACAUCAUUAACCAAAUAUGUUAUUAUUAGUGGUUGUCUUGAUUAGAAAGCACAUCCUGUUUAU